CAACCCCUUCAUUCCUUAUACUCUCAACCGAAAGAUUUAGCUUUCAAAGUCUGUCUAUUUCAUGUUAAUCUUUCAGUUUGAUUGAUUGUUUUAGCUAUGAUGUCUGUCUAAAGUUUUUGGUUUUUGUUCCUGCGAUUUGAAAGCCGUUUGAAAUGUCAGUCUUCGUAGUUUCUACUCGUUGCUGUUUCAUGAUUUCAAUGGGGUCACAGUUCACUACCUCAUUUCGGAUAGUACUGAUCUGCAGGAGUUCUCUCAUUCUAUAAACUCUGUUUUCAGCUGACAAUCAGAUGAAUGAUUCCCAAGAGCUGGACUUAUGCUUCAUACAUGAAUUUACCUAUCAUGCUUCCCCCGUAUUUUGAUUUGUACAAAUUCUAUGAAUUUGUUUUUGACCAGGCUUCAUUGCUAUGUGCUUGAAAGAUGGCAUUCGUGAAUCGGUUAGGGAAUCUGCUCAAGAACUCUCCAAGCAGGCACACCAAUCAUGAUGUAUCCGUGUGCAGUCCAGCCAUGUAUCAGGCAAUAAGGUCCAUGUCUUCAAAGCUUUUCGUUGGAGGACUUUCUUAUGGCACCGAUGAUAUAAGCCUGAAAGAAGCAUUUUCCGGUUAUGGUGAGAUCGUUGAGGGUAAUAAUCGGCCGUGAGACUGGUAGGUCAAGAGGAUUGCGCUUUGUUAGCUUCAAGUCUAGUGAUGAGGCUUCUAAUGCCAUGUGGGGGUAUGGAUGGACAGGAUCUUCACAGCCGAAGGAUAAGAGUGAACUACGCCAAAGAGAAGUCUAGCCGAGGAUUUGGUGGUGCAGCCUUCAGAGGCAGCGAUGGUGUCUAUGGCAAUGGUGGUGGACAUGGUGGCAGUGGCAGCGGCUAUGGCACUAACAGUUACGCUGGUGGAAACUGAUCUCUUCUGACCGUCUCCCUGCUCCUUCGCUUAGAAAUUUUAUGAUUGCACUAUAAAAGUUCGCAAAUUUUCUUUUACUCUGUAUACUUGAGUUUCAGUUUGAAAUAUGAAUUUCAUGAAA